UCCUCUUGCUGUUGUUGUGGCUGGUGGGCGGGACAGCCGAGCUCAGCUCGGAAUCUCGGCUUGUGAUUGGUGGAGCUCCUCCUCCAAUCAGAGCCGGCCUGUAAACUGGUUUGCUGGUCAGUUUGGACCUUUCCUCUGGCUGAAGUAACCCAUCCGAACUGGUCCUAAUGACCGCUAACGACUCGUUUGGUCUCUUUUACCGCUAAACUCCGCUCUCGUGGACGCUCCGGGCUCCGCGUGAAGCGCUUCCGGGAUCUCCCUCCCGCCUCGGCGGGCUUUAAAGGAAGCUAGCUAGCGUUAGCCCUGAGCUAGCAUGACAGCCAGCAGAACUGCCGUCGCUCCCAGCCUCCUGCGGGGCUCUGCUAGCGGGAGGCCUCAGCUGAUCCCAAACGGAUGACGGCUGCCUCCAACAGCCGGACCGAUCUAAUGCCUCCACGCAGCCAAGCAGGUUCUUUACUUUUAUAAUCAUUUGUCACGUUUGAUCUUUCACAUGCAGGAUUGACAAAGUCAGCUGUUGCUCUGAGAGGUCCUAAACUAAAGUUAGUCAGUCCAUAAAUCCUGGUUUACACUCCUGUCUGCAGCGUCUCUCGUGUCUGUCGGGGAGUCCGUCUCACAGAGGUCAGCUUACGUUGUGUUUCUGGUCUGGUCAGUCUGCUUAACAUUCAAAACUUUGAGAAUCAGGCUCAUCUUCUCGCCUUUCUGAGUUCUUGUUAAAUGUAUGUUUUGUGUCAAUAAUGAGUUUAUGUUUUUGUACUUUUGUCACCUAUGAUGAAAAUGGAUGACAGCGUUAUCUGGAGUGUUAUCUUCUGGGCACGGCAUCAUUAAUAUAAAAUACAACUUUAUUUAGAAAAUUGUUAUUUUUAGAUGUUUUAGUUUUGAAACCAGGACCUGUUUCCUGUUCCUCUGGCUUUUUGUCACAUAAUCGACAGACUGAGGUAGACAUCCUACCUAAAGCUUGUUUUGUGGAGGAACAGACGUCAGAUGCAGUUAUGACAUAAAUAUUCUGAUUGAUUUAUAAAUCUUCUGUUUUUUUGUGUGUCAACACAACAGAGAUAUACUGCAGACUGACCAGUGUAAAUCAAGCUUUAGCCCUACCUGUCCUCACAGGCGGACUGCAGGUGAAAAUGUUCAAACCCUGUGUGACCCGUCCAGGUUUGACCAUUUUUAGUUCUGUGAUAACAAAUCGGGCUCAUAGAUCACUCAGUGAAACCGUAAAGAGAAAAUGUUUAUCUACGGCAUGCUGCAGCGAGAGGUCAAAGUGAACACUUGUACAACACAUAAAGGCCAAUGAGGGGGAACUAUGUGAGAUGCAGGUGUGUCCUACAGAUUUUUCAUUUAUCAACCCCUAAUCCUGCAGACUGAACAAGGAUCCUGUUGGUGCUGUUCACGUGAUAUGUGCACGCUCCUAGAAAUGAGGAAAAUAGACGGAUUGUAGUUUGUGUGGCUGUCCUACUGGUACUUAUUAUGUGUACACCCCAAGCAUGAAGCAUUUGUUUGCUGUCAGUAAGGAGCCAGUACUCACACCUAGAGUGUGGCGUAAGGACAUCGUACAACAGCGCCACCUGUGCGCCAUACGAAUUUUUCACAAUACACACUCAUGUUAGGUGGUCCUUAGGAUGCAGCCGCUCUUUCCUACAAUCCUCCACAGACUGGUUUUUCCAUGUGACUAAGGCUUUACGUGGUGAUUCUGGUAUUUAUUAAUAAAUCAAACAGAUUCUGUGAUGGGAUUGCUGUUCGGUUUGUUAAACUGAUGCAGACGUUUUUCUUAGGGACUGGAAAAGUCUGUUGGUUCAGACUGAGUCCACUUCAUUAGGUCCAGAUUGAGUCCGGAACCUGCGUUUGGUCUGUAUUCAGACUGCAGUCAACUGGAUGUUUCUACUCCAAACCAAAACCUGUAAACAAAACCUUGUGACCGAAGAUCUCUUCAAGUAUUGGCCAGGAAUUAUGUGGGCGGGGCAAAACAAUGAGGAAUAAUGGGAGUCCUGCACUUUGCAAUUCUUGUUCACUGAUUCAAAGUAUAGAACCAAUGUAUGUCAUGUUAACCCUUGUGCUCUCUUAUGGGGUCCAGAUGACCCCACCCUUACAUUGAGGUGUUAGCCCUUCCAUGACAAAGGUGGACAAGACUUCAUGUCUGUCAUUGGACAUCAGUAAAAAUCGAAAAUCAUUGAAAAAAAAUGUUCAACGCAUUUUUUUUUUUUUUGGGUCCAGAUGACCCCACUUUCAAUGUAAACAUGCCCAGGGUAGCGGACCAUGUUUCAAAGAGUUACUGUAUCUCAUCAUUGCUCUGCUACUCUGUUUACAUCCCAUAAUACCCAUUAUACAAUGGGCGUUUUGGUCCAGUUGUUCCAAUCCAAGUAUGGAGCCUAUUCAGACUGAGGAAUCUCAGAGCGAACCGGAGCUCAGUUUGUUUGGAAACGGACCAAGACCACCUCCAAAGAUGGGUCAGAGGGCGGGUCUUGGUCCAGACCAGAGUCCACUCGGGUGUAAUCAGACUGAAAAGUUUGUUUUGGAUUAUCUGAGGAAACGAACUCUGGUUCACUUUAAAUUAACCAAAUGUUUGCAGUCUGAAUACACCCUUAGACUUAGUUUGCAUUAUUCUACAAAGUUUCAUUUUGUUACAGAAAGUUUGGAACCUAUAGAUGUCUUUUAAAAUAUGAAGUUAUCCAUAUUGUUGAAUUGGUCCAGAGGCUGAAUGUUGUCCUUGUAAGCUGGACUUUUUUGAUGUUUAAAUGUCAUUUGUUUAAACACUGGAAGCAAAAACCGUCUUCUCUUUGGGUCUCUUUAAGGUUUGAGUAGAAAAUGUUUGACACUCCAGAGCAAAGUUUUUCUCUAUACAUUAAAGAAAGGAGCUGUCUGCACCAGUGUGUUUAGGUUGAUGAAUGUCCAGUUUGUGUUAAAUACUUUGUGUGACACAUAAACACUCCUAUCCGAUCUACUGACAGACUGUAGGAAAUGUUUGAACUGCUCUUUUUGUUUGUUUGUUUCUAAUGUUGCAACUUUAUCAUGAAGGUCAAUGUGAGAAAUGACACAAUUCUUCACAUUACUUUACUACACACAUUAGUGUCGUUAUGGUUUAACAGGAGUAUCGUAUUACUUUAGCAGUAAAACUGGAUGUUUGCUGAAGAAAUGAUACAUUGUUUUAUUUUGAAGUAAUCAAUUAUUUUAAGCUAACAUUAAUAAACAAUGCCUUUUGCUAACAUUGAUGGAAAUCCUUUCUUUUAAGAAAAUGGGAUUGACAUCUGUUUAAACAUGGAUACCUCUGACCUUCAGCCAUCCUCAGAGAAAGGAAACCUGAUCUUCUGGCUGCUUUUACUGUCAUUCUGCUUUACAGAAGUCGCUUUUCUAUUUUCAUUCGAGGAAUUUUGCAAAGAGGAUUUUCUUGCAGGAGUUUGGUUGCAGAUAGAAAUAAACAUGAUUUAUCAUUUGAUUUUGUUAAUGUUUUAUCUAAUGAAAGUAAACUUUGGUUAAAGUCUGGGCUUUCAAAAAACAUGCUGAUUAUCUUCUUGUCUUAAUGAAAGAAUCUGGAAAAGGAAAAACUGCUAUUCUUCACAAUCUAACAAGAUCCUAGAAUGACCUCUAGCACAUAAUUAACAAGUGAUUUAAAUCACACAAACAUAUUUGAGUAUUAAAAAAUAUCACACUAAGAAUAUUGUGUAUUUAUAAUUACAGGUAGUAAAAACCCAAAAUAAAAAAAAUGUAACAUUUUAAUGUUUGAGGCUCAUAUAUUCAGAUGAGUAAUUUAAGAUGCUUUUGUAAAUCACUAAAGUUCUUCUCCAAUUAUAUUUUUUUCUAUCAUAAAAUCGCUCACAGUGAUUUUAAUAAUGAUAAUGCAGUUUUGAGCCAAAAUCAAAAAGGCUUUUUUUAAGACAUUUUAUACUCAGCUGCAGUAGCUCAUUAAAAAAAUCUGUUCUGGAUUGUGGGCGGGACCUUUGACGCAGAGCAACUCCGCCCCCCUCCCCGUCGCUGAGAGCUCUGUUUGUGCGCUCACACGCGAGCUUAUAGCCUCAAGCUAGCAGUAACGAUAAAACAAUAAUGGAUCAAUCCAGUUUGCAAAUUUAAGCCAGGAACGUGCAACAGCACGACUGUUGAACACUAACCAUAAGCGGGUCACGGUGUGCGCAGGGAGAGGAGACUUUGGCCCCGCCCAUUUCAGUAACUGCGUCAUUAGUCUGAUCUUUUUCUAGCAUCUGCUUUUCAACUGCUCCUUAUCCAAUGCAAUUUGAUUUAAUAAACUCAGAUAUUCUUUUAUAUAAGACCUCUACUAUGGAACAAAAUGCUGCAAGAACACAUUAAAACACAUUAACCAUUUUCAUUGGAGGUGGUCUUUAAAACCACAGUGUGUCUCAUCAUCUUCCCCCUGAUCUUAGAAACCUGGACUCUCUAAACAUCUUCAAAUCACAACUCAAAACUUUCCUGUUCAGACAAGCUUAUUUAUAGCAUCUUCUGUUCUCUGUUUAAUGCUCUUGUACUUUAGUUUUUAACUUGUUUGUUUUACAUGUGUGUUUUUAGCUGUUUCAUUGUAAAGAGACCUUGAGAGCUGAAAGGCUCUUUUAAAUAAAAUGUAUUAUUAUUUAUCAAUCUCCAUCAAUAGACCUCUAAUACAUGAAGCUGAUCUCCACCAGAAAGAAGCUGCUUGAUCAUUUAGUGCUGUAUGAAAGCAAGUAAAUGAAGAGACGACGUCAUUGGAAGGACUUUUCAAGACUUUGGCUGAAGUUUACGAACGAGUCCAAACUAAAGACCGUAUUACCCAUAAUGCCUGAGCCGGGCUGCAGACCGCCUGCUCCACGGCGUGAUGUUUUGAUCUUAUCCAUGCAGAGGAAUCCAAACCAAGUGUUGAGAAUUUUGUUUCUGGUUUUCUAGUUUCUAUGAUACUGAACUUCGGGUUUUAUGAUCAAAUAUACAAAUCAGUUUAUGAAUUCGUUAAAAUAGGUCAAAUUUUUGAUUAAUUUAAUAAAUUGUGCUUUUGAUAUUUGAAUUUGUUAAGAAGCUCCAAUACGUCAGAUCUCGUCUACAUGUAUGCAGUUAUUUGAUAACAUGCAUUAAUAACCUGUGUUCAAACGCAGCGUUCAUCACUGCUGUAAACUUUCAGGACAUUUUUAAUUGUUAGUAAAAACAAGUUCACAGUUUAGCUGCCUAGAAACCUGCUAAUGUUUUUAUAUUCUAAUGUCGUCAAAUUAGAACUUAUCUGUUAUCCAAAUUCUAUUUUAAAUAUGAAUGGAAAUCAUUUUAAACAGCAGUUUACUUUAUAGGUUUAUAGUUUUUACCAACUCUGGUUAAAGCAUAAAAUGUUUAGACUUAAUUGUAAUAUUUCUGCCUGAAGUAGUCAUAAUCGACAAAGAUAAAACAAAACUUGAUUAAAAAUACAUAGUUGAAUUAAAGGAUGGGUCACUAAAAUGUGCAGUAAUAAGUCAAGGAGAUAAACCAUAACUUCCAUGUUUCACUCUUCUUAUGUAUUUCUGAUAUGUAUUGUGUGUAAAUAAACUAUUAUAAACGGA